CCUUUACCUACCCUUGACAUGGAAGGAAUCCCUGAGAGAUUGGGGAGUGCCCGAAAGGAACCUUUUACACAGGUGCUGCAUGGCUGUCGUCAGCUCGUGUCGUGAGAUGUUGGGUUUAAGUCCCGCAACGAGCGCAACCCUUGUCAUUAGUUGCUACGCAAGAGCACUCUAAUGAGACUGCCGGUGACAACCGGAGGAAGGUGGGGAUGACGUCAAGUCCUCAUGGCCCUUAUGGGUAGGGCUUCACACGUCAUACAAUGGUACAUACAGAGGGCCGCCAACCCGCGAGGGGGAGCUAAUCCCAGAAAGUGUAUCGUAGUCCGGAUUGUAGUCUGCAACUCGACUACAUGAAGUUGGAAUCGCUAGUAAUCGCGGAUCAGCAUGUCGCGGUGAAUACGUUCCCGGGUCUUGUACACACCGCCCGUCACACCAUGGGAGCGGGUUUUACCAGAAGUAGGUAGCUUAACCGCAAGGAGGGCGCUUACCACGGUAGGAUUCGUGACUGGGGUGAAGUCGUAACAAGGUAAGCGUAGCGAG
rnacentral:rRNA from 1 species